rnacentral:rRNA from 1 species
GUAGGUGGCAAGCGUUGUCCGGAAUUAUUGGGCGUAAAGCGCGCGCAGGCGGUUCUUUAAGUCUGAUGUGAAAGCCCACGGCUCAACCGUGGAGGGUCAUUGGAAACUGGAGAACUUGAGUACAGAAGAGGAAAGCGGAAUUCCACGUGUAGCGGUGAAAUGCGUAGAGAUGUGGAGGAACACCAGUGGCGAAGGCGGCUUUCUGGUCUGUAACUGACGCUGAGGCGCGAAAGCGAGGGGAGCAAACAGGGAUUAGAUACCCUGGUAGUCCACGCCGUAAACGAUGAGUGCUAAGUGUUAGGGGGGUUUCCGCCCCCUUAGUGCUGCAGCUAACGCAUUAAGCACUCCGCCUGGGGAGUACGGCCGCAAGGCUG